rnacentral:rRNA from 1 species
ACGAACGCUGGCGGCGUGCUUAACACAUGCAAGUCGAACGAUGAUGCCCAGCUUGCUGGGUGGAUUAGUGGCGAACGGGUGAGUAACACGUGAGUAACCUGCCCCUGACUCUGGGAUAAGCGUUGGAAACGACGUCUAAUACUGGAUAUGAUCACUGGCCGCAUGGUCUGGUGGUGGAAAGAUUUUUUGGUUGGGGAUGGACUCGCGGCCUAUCAGCUUGUUGGUGAGGUAAUGGCUCACCAAGGCGACGACGGGUAGCCGGCCUGAGAGGGUGACCGGCCACACUGGGACUGAGACACGGCCCAGACUCCUACGGGAGGCAGCAGUGGGGAAUAUUGCACAAUGGGCGAAAGCCUGAUGCAGCAACGCCGCGUGAGGGAUGACGGCCUUCGGGUUGUAAACCUCUUUUAGUAGGGAAGAAGGGAGCUUGCUCUUGACGGUACCUGCAGAAAAAGCACCGGCUAACUACGU